rnacentral:rRNA from 1 species
CCUACGGGAGGCUGCAGUGAGGAAUAUUGGUCAAUGGACGAGAGUCUGAACCAGCCAAGUAGCGUGAAGGAUGACUGCCCUAUGGGUUGUAAACUUCUUUUAUAUGGGAAUAAAAUGUUCCACGUGUGGGAUUUUGUAUGUACCAUAUGAAUAAGGAUCGGCUAACUCCGUGCCAGCAGCCGCGGUAAUACGGAGGAUCCGAGCGUUAUCCGGAUUUAUUGGGUUUAAAGGGAGCGUAGGUGGAUUGUUAAGUCAGUUGUGAAAGUUUGCGGCUCAACCGUAAAAUUGCAGUUGAAACUGGCAGUCUGGAGUACAGUAGAGGUUGGCGGAAUUCGUGGUGUAGCGGUGAAAUGCUUAGAUAUCACGAAGAACUCCGAUUGCGAAGGCAGCUCACUGGACUGCAACUGACACUGAGGCUCGAAAGUGUGGGUAUCAAACAGGAUUAGAUACCCCGGUAGUC